rnacentral:tRNA from 2 species
GCGGGUGUAGCUCAAUGGUAGAGCCCCAGCCUUCCAAGCUGGAGACGUGGGUUCGAUUCCCAUCACCCGCUCCA